rnacentral:rRNA from 1 species
UACGUAGGGGGCGAGCGUUGUCCGGAAUCAUUGGGCGUAAAGCGCGCGUAGGCGGCCCGGUAAGUCCGUUGUAAAAGUCAAAGGCUCAACCUUUGAAAGCCGAUGGAUACUGCCGGGCUAGAAUCCGGAAGAGGCGAGUGGAAUUCCCGGUGUAGCGGUGGAAUGCGCAGAUAUCAGGAGGAACACCAAUAGCGAAGGCAGCUCGCUGGGACGGUAUUGACGCUAAGGCGCGAAAGCGUGGGGAGCAAACGGG